GGCGGCGUGCCUAAUACAUGCAAGUAGAACGCUGAAGGAGGAGCUUGCUCUUCUGGAUGAGUUGCGAACGGGUGAGUAACGCGUAGGUAACCUGCCUGGUAGCGGGGGAUAACUAUUGGAAACGAUAGCUAAUACCGCAUAAGAGUAGAUGUUGCAUGACAUUUGCUUAAAAGGUGCAAUUGCAUCACUACCAGAUGGACCUGCGUUGUAUUAGCUAGUUGGUGGGGUAACGGCUCACCAAGGCGACGAUACAUAGCCGACCUGAGAGGGUGAUCGGCCACACUGGGACUGAGACACGGCCCAGACUCCUACGGGAGGCAGCAGUAGGGAAUCUUCGGCAAUGGACGGAAGUCUGACCGAGCAACGCCGCGUGAGUGAAGAAGGUUUUCGGAUCGUAAAGCUCUGUUGUAAGAGAAGAACGAGUGUGAGAGUGGAAAGUUCACACUGUGACG
rnacentral:rRNA from 1 species